GACGAACGCUGGCGGCGUGCUUAACACAUGCAAGUCGAACGAAGUGGCGAACGGGUGAGUAACGCGUAAUCAACCUGCCCUUCAGAGGGGGACAACAGUUGGAAACGACUGCUAAUACAGCAUAAUGAAGGAGGGGAUUGCGUCUGAUUAGCUAGUGGGAGGUGUAACGGCCCACCAAUGCGAUGAUCAGUAGCCGGUCUUAGAGGAUGAACGGCAACAUUGGGACUGAGGCACGGCCCAGACUCCUACGGGAGGCAGCAGUGGGGAAUCUUCCGCAAUGGACGAAAGUCUGACCGAGCAACGCCGCGUGAGUGAAGAAGGUUUUCGGAUCGUAAAACUCUGUUGUUAGAGAAGCGGUAUCUAACCAGAAAGCCACGGCUAACUACGUGCCAGCAGCCGCGGUAAUAC
rnacentral:rRNA from 1 species